rnacentral:rRNA from 1 species
UAGAGCGGCGCACGGGUGCGUAACACGUGGGUAAUCUGCCUGGAAGCUUGGGAUAACCAGUCGAAAGACUGGCUAAUACCAGAUAAGCCCCCGGACUCUUCGGAGUCAGAGGGAAAAGGUGGCCUCUGUAUACAAGCUAUCACUUCUAGAUGAGCCCGCGGCCCAUCAGCUAGUUGGCGGGGUAAUGGCCCACCAAGGCAACGACGGGUAGCUGGUCUGAGAGGACGAUCAGCCACACUGGAACUGAGACACGGUCCAGACUCCUACGGGAGGCAGCAGUGGGGAAUUUUGCGCAAUGGGCGAAAGCCUGACGCAGCAACGCCGCGUGUGUGAUGAAGGUCUUCGGAUUGUAAAGCACUUUCGACCGGGACGAAAACCCUCUGGCUAACAUCCAGGGGCUUGACGGUACCGGGAGAAGAAGCACCGGCUAACUCUGUGCCAGCAGCCGCGGUAAUACA